rnacentral:rRNA from 1 species
GAUGAACGCUGGCGGCGUGCCUAAUACAUGCAAGUCGAGCGAACAGACGAGGAGCUUGCUCCUCUGACGUUAGCGGCGGACGGGUGAGUAACACGUGGAUAACCUACCUAUAAGACUGGGAUAACUUCGGGAAACCGGAGCUAAUACCGGAUAACAUGUUGAACCGCAUGGUUCAACAGUGAAAGACGGUUUUGCUGUCACUUAUAGAUGGAUCCGCGUCGCAUUAGCUAGUUGGUAAGGUAACGGCUUACCAAGGCAACGAUGCGUAGCCGACCUGAGAGGGUGAUCGGCCACACUGGAACUGAGACACGGUCCAGACUCCUACGGGAGGCAGCAGUAGGGAAUCUUCCGCAAUGGGCGAAAGCCUGACGGAGCAACGCCGCGUGAGUGAAGAAGGUCUUCGGAUCGUAAAACUCUGUUAUUAGGGAAGAACAAAUGUGUAAGUAACUAUGCACGUCUUGACGGUACCUAAUCAGAAAGCCACGGCUAACUACG